UACGAAGGACCCGAGCGUUAUCCGGAUUUAUUGGGUUUAAAGGGUGCGUAGGCGGACACGCAAGUCAGUAGUGAAAUCUCCCAGCUUAACUGGGAAACUGCCAUUGAAACUAUGUGUCUUGAGUACAUUUGAGGCGGGCGGAAUGUGUCAUGUAGAGGUGAAAUUCUUAGAUAUGACACAGAACACCAAUUGCGAAGGCAGCUCGCUAAACUGUAACUGACGCUGAGGCACGAAAGCGUGGGGAUCAAACAGG
rnacentral:rRNA from 1 species